UCCUAUCCAGUACAGAUGAUAACAGAACCCUGCAACCAUCCUUCUCGCCUGGGAACUCGGAAGGAGGAGAUUCAUCAGCAGCAGCCCAGGAUUCGUCUCUCUAUUUCCUCAUCUCUGCUCAAUGGUCACUACCUCAACUCACUGCUCAGGUUCGUGUGUUGCUGCUAGAUCCUAAGUCUGAGUUUAGCUUGCUAGAUGUGUGUGCUAGUUUCAGUUCCUCAAGUAGAAGAACAGGAGAGUGAGGAGACCAUAUUCAUUCGUGUGUUGCUGCAUUUUAUACUAGUUUCUCAAGUAGAUCAGGUUCUUGUGUUGAUCAAGUGUCUCUGACAUGGGCUAGGUGGACGGAUGGAUUCAUACAUAUAUCUAGCAGAACUAAUAUGAGUAAUUAUUGUCUUUGUGAAUAAGUCGAUUGAUGCAAGGCGCUCAUACUUUUCGCACAUGCCAGCAAAAAUAACACAAGCUAGGAUGUAUGAAUGCGUUAUUUUUACUACUUAUAAGAAAUAGAAUAAAUGUUUUUUCUUGGAGAUUGUAGUGAUUUUUACCACCAAGACUUAUUUAUUUUGCAUUAUAGUUGUUUCACUUUUUAGCAUUAGUUGCCUAGAAUUACUAAAGUUGUUUCAAAUUUGCAAUAUGUAGUUGUUGUUUUUGGAAAAGUCUAUCAUGGAACUGGGGUUACGUGACUAUUCUCAUGCAAAAUCAAGUAUGACAUGAAUGCAAUUAGUUUUCUAUUUUACUACUUUUAAGAAAUAGAAUCAGUGUUUCUGCUUCGAGAUUGUACUUAUUUUUACCAUCAAGAUUUUUUUUGGCUUUUCCAGUUGCUUCACUUUUUUGCCAGAAGUUAGUGCUCUCCUUCUGCAUUUCGCUCGAACGACGAUAGAGCGAGGGUUUCGACAAGUUUGGUGUGAUUUUCACCAGGAUUUUGGCAUCUCGGGAGGCGACCACAUGCGCAAAUCAACGGCGAAACAGAGGUAUGCCAUGCACCCACUUUUUCACGUGUUUUUGUCGUGCUCAAUUCGAGGUUUUCCCAGACGUUUCGUAGGAUGGAUUGGUUGCGCGACCACGGAGCUGAACAGGGGCAUGACGUUGACCGGUAGUGACCUACGUGGCUACUAAAUCGAGAUGGGCGGCUCAAAGAUUUUUUUAGUCGGGGGGUGGAGGGCACGGUGGUUUGAAGGUUAUGAGGCAGGGGUGGCCAUUGUGGUCAAAAGUCUGGGAACUGUAAUCUCAUAAAGGCACUUUUCAAGAAGGACAUGAUAAAGAAAGUAGGCUAUAGAAAAUUAUGCUGAAGUUUUUCCCAUAGAAAAUGGCAUAAUUGGAUAACACAUUUCGUUUUUUAAUAGUUGCCCAUGAAUCACACUAGAGUUGCCUAUGUUAGAGAAUAUAGUUGCUUAUUUUUGUUUUUUUAAUUUACAACUUUUAAUUUUUGCCUAUCAUUUCAUGUUUGUGCACCCUCAAGGUUAGACAUCUUUGUAAGGUUGGUUGCAUUGAACUAGGCACAAUCAUGAUAAGCCGCAACAUAAGCUUUCGAUGCUGGACCAUCCGCCCAAAAUAAAUUCUCACACCACCCCUCCAUAUCCAUCUUGUACUUAAAAAAGAAAUCUGGAUCCGCCAUGUACAACUGGCUAAAGUAACCCUAUCAGAGGCAAGUAACCACAUGAAAGAAAGUGACUUAAUACAAAACAGAGGUAACUACUUAUACAACAAGCAUGCAGCAUGUGGGGAAAUAUAAAAGCAACACAACUAUAUUUGGGGGGGGCAGCAAGACUGGGAUCGCGAAUAUGGGAGAGCAAAUUAGUUUGCGGGAGAGGGGGAGUUGAUUUUUUGCAAAGAACAAGUUUCUGUAAUACCUCAACAUGUAGUGAAAAUUGAUAACUAUUGGUAGGAAACAACUACAACCAGCCUUGCAAAAAAGAGGCAACUAUUGGUAGGAUUACGGGCAACUUGCAGGGUUUAUAUGCAAAUGUUUGGUAUUGUACUAUUUUUCGCAUUCUAGCUUCUUCACCUUUUAGCAUGAGUUGUCUACAAUACAAGUAAAGUUGUUCCAAAUCUGCAAGCUAUAGUUGUUGUUUUUUUGGAAAAGUCUAUCACACAAUUGGAGUGCCUGAUUGUUCUCGUGCAAAAAACAAGCAUAGUCUGGAUGCAAUUAGUUGUUUUUUUACUACUUUUAGGAAAUAGAAUCACUGUAUUUGCUUGGAGAUUGUACUAACUUUUAUCAUCACGUUUUUUUUGGCAUUCUAGUUGCUUCACUGUUUAGCCACAAGUAAGUGUUCUCCUUCCCCAUUUCUCUCCGACCACAACAAAGCGAGGGUUUCGGCGACUUUGGUGUGAUUUUUGCUGGGAUUCGGCACCAUGGGAGGCACUCAGCUUUCCCCAUGUUUUUGCCGGGCAUUUCGGAGGAUGGCUCGGUUGUGCAGCUAUAGAGGUGAACGGGGGCACAACGGAUAUAGUUGCCCACAAUCAGCUAUAUAGUUUCCUAGAACCAUGGAUCCAGUUGCCCAAUCCUCAUGAAUGGAAACAUUAUCAAGACCAUAGUUUGGCUAAUAUGUAAAAGUUUCAAAUACCUUUCAAUUAAGAUUGUGUCAUAGAGAUGCAUCAAUAAUAUCAUCUCCCCGGGGUUGGAUCCCUUGGUAUGAUCGUAGAUAUUAGGCGAAUGAUCAUAGAGGGGGAGCGGUGUGGAGCUAGUCAUGGGGACAUAACUAAAACCACGAAGUGUUUUUACUGGAUUAAGUUUAUUUGUCGCCCCCUCCAAAAAUGAACACGUGUAUGUUCUUAUCCCUUUUUUAGUGUCAUAAUUUCCUACAAUCAACCAUAAUGUUGCCUAAAACCAUGUAUCCAAUUGCCCACAAUAAAUCAUACAGUUGUCUAAAAACAUGUAUCCAGUUGCCCACAAUCAACCAUACAGUUGUCUAAAACCAUGUGUCCAGUUAUCCAAUCCUCAUAAACAGAAACAUUACCAAGACCAUAUUCGGCUAAUACGUAAAAGUUUUAGAUCUCUUUCAAUUAAGAUCGUGUCAUAGAGAUGCGUCAAUAAUUUCAUCUCCUCGGGGUUGUAGCCCUUGGUAUGAUCGUAGAUACUAGACGAAUGGUCAUAGAGGGGGUUGUGAAGCUGGUCAUGGGAGCAAUGGACGUUGAGGGGCCCUAAGAACACCCCCUCGUUGUUCAGUUUGGAGGAUUUCGAACGAAUGAACUUGUUCAAACAAAUUAGGUGACCGUAGGUGGUUAAAGGUGUCUAGAGAAGCCGAUGCGGACAUUUGGGGCAAUUUGGUGAUCCAUGUUGGAGUUGUCCUUAUGGUAGGUGACUUAGAGGUGAAGCUAGUCAAUUGGCAGUGAUGGUAACUAACCUAGAAGGAUCAUUCACUGAUGGGUAGUCAUACUGGGGGGAAAGGAGUUGCUUUCCUAUAGCACUAGCCUCUGCAACACAUGAAGUUGCUUGAAAGAAAAAAAAGUUCAUUGAAACCUAUUCAUAUGGGAUCUAGUUUUGAAGAACUCGUUGCGAGAAACCCAACGGCAAAAACUAUUCUCAAUUUCGAUGCUCGAAUCAAAAGUUAUGGCUUUUAAAAAAUGAAACGACAAAUUAAUGCACAUGGGACAAGAUCUUGGUUGGUUUAUGUGAUAACAUCUCAGAAUCACGUGGGUACAAGGGAGAUUGUCGUGUAUCAUGAUGUUUUCUAUUUUUGGAAGAGCACGUGAUGGACCGCUUGCCCUUCUUAGGGUGUCCUUUCGUAAUACGAAGGUAUCCUCGAUCAAACGAACUAGCGCACUGGCGCUCGCUAACCUCGUCCAUAUAUAAAACCGGCUAAUAUUUAUUCACCAUUCCAAAAUUCCAAAUCCCUACUAUUAACAUCCAAUCUAUAGUUUGCCUAAUAAUAAUGUGCAAUAUAAUAAUUAUUAUUAUGUCUAUUAUAAAUGUUCACUCCACGUACGUAAUUACUAGUCGAUACAAAUGGAAGAAUUAUCCACUUCCAUAAACAUACCGAGAUAUGUGUCGUUGAAGGACCUACUAGAUAUUCCCAACCAAAAUUUAACCCUAAUGUUAUCUGCAGGGAGAGCAUCUUGGCGAGCCACAGGAUCUCCAAUCGAUGGAUGACAAUUUUCGCAAAAAAAAAACUUAAAGCAAGGAACUGUUGUCGCAGUUUUUAUAAAAUACCACCCUUGCCAAGCUAAACAUGGUAAAAACUAUCACCACCACCCCGUUCUCUUGCCAUGUGCUUCUAGCGACCGUUCACAACGUAUGCGUGUCUAAAUUGAACUCCCUGUUUAACAAGAUCAAUAAUUUUUCCCAAAGAACAAGAGAGAUUUAGCAUUGUUGAUCAGCUCAUCUCAGCCGUGACAAUAGUGACCCAAAGUAGAUUCCGAAGCAUCCACAAUACAUUAUCACUUAUUGCAAAAAAGGUAUUGUCAUCGAUGAAAGGAAGAUGUGAGAUGUGUCGGUGUGAAAACCGGCAGAUUUCAGGUUGUGGGUCCCAAACUGUGGACCUUGGAUCGAUGGGUUGUAGGAAGAAGGGGGAGACAACGAUUUACCCAGGUUCGGGCCCUCCUAUGGAGGCAAUACCCUACGUCCUGCUUGAUUGUAUUGAUAAAGAUGAUUACAAAGUAGAUCUACCUCGAGAUCGUAUAUGCUAAACCCUGGAUGAUUCAACCUCCUCUACACGGGAUAGGGGUCUCUAGUUUAUAUAGACACCACGGACCCCAGGGUUUACAAGUUACCAACUAUAAUCAGGAAUAGAUGAGCCGACCUAGUCUUUCUAAGCUUGGAGCACAUGUCAGUCCUUGGAGCCUUCCUUCCUUCGUACGAAGUCGUGAACUAUCCGGACUCUGAUGAUCCGGUCCAUGGGUCGGCGUCCUGAGGACCCCUUAAUCCAGGACUUCCUCGGUAGCCCCAAACUAGCCUUCCACGCCCUUGUGUAUAGUCUUCGGCAUCUUUCACACGUAUCUCGUAGUCAGCUUGAAAGGCGAGUUCCUCCUCUGAUUUGCAACAUGACGAACUAGUAUUCAACGAAUCCACGAAUAUCGAAGCGUUGUGGGACCCGAAACUUUCAACCCUGCCCCUAAAUUUUAAUAACCUUUGGGCGCCGUAUAUCUUAAAGUAGGCAUGCAUCCCAAUGAUUCAACGGAACCGUCUCUUACACACGUGGGGGAGGUGACUUUUCUUAUAAAUAAGCAGGGGGCAGGUCCAAGGCCUUAUCACCAUUCCCUCCUCCACAAGUGUGGCCAAGGAAACCCUAGAAUCCUAGCACUUAGCUCCAUGGCGUGUUCCUCCUCUCGUCCCUUUGGCCCUCAACCGGGCGAUUGGGUUAGUUGCUCCGUCUCCCAGCUUCGGUUGCGAGACCUUGAAGUCCAAGGGUAUCUUCCCUCUUCUGAUCUUGCACCCACGCGUGCUGGCCUAACCGCCUACAACGGCAAGGCCCUCACAAAAAAAACCUACUCCGCAAAGAGGCGAAAGGGUCUAUUUUACUUCUUUCCUACUGCGCAGGUUGGGAUUUCCCAUUCAUCCCUUUUUGAGAGGUUUAUUGGAGUUUUACGGAUUGCAGCUCCAUAAUCUGUCCCCAGGUUCCAUUCUACACAUCUCAGGCUUCGUAGCAUUGUGUGAUAUGUUCCUAGGCUAGGAACCUCACUUUGAUUUGUGGAGAAAGUACUUCUGCAUUGUCCCCCGGACUAACGGAACCUCCAUCUGGGAAGUAGGCGGGGCUGAGGUGUGGUGUAUAGCAUCCACCGGAUACCCAGUCGGUACACUGAAUGAGAAAACCGACGAAUGGUCUUUGGAGUGGUUCUACAUUGACGAUGUCCCUUUAUUCGAGCCAGUUCGGCGAGGCCUUCCCGAGUACUCAGCGGCUCCUUUGAAGAAGCGAUUCUGCUCGCGUCCAAAGAGUAAAUCUGAAGAAGAGAGCUUGGAAGUGAGGCGCCUAUCCACCAAGGUAAAAAUGCUGGCUCACGGUGGUCUGACCAGCGUACAAGUGAUGGCCAUCGUAAUCACACGGUGCGUCCAACUGCUUCAGCAACGCAUACAUCCUUUAUGGGAUUACUGUGGGACACAUGACUCGACGCGUUCCAAGCGGCAAGGACCGGACACUCGUGAAAACUUAGCAGCCAUUCUGGCUAAUUUUUUCAAGGAGGAAAAGGAGGAUUUCGCCCGUCUCGCCUUCAGGGAAGGCUUCGCGUCGUACAACCCCAUCCCAUGGGUAAGUAUAGACACAUCUAUAGUUAUCUUGUUCGAUCGUGCUACCGAUAAACAUAAACCCCUUGAUCCUUUACUUGUAGGAUUGGAGGCACUCGAUCGAAACAGUGAGAUGCCCCGCUCCCCAGCCCGAGAACUAUGCUCGGGAAGACGAACCUCGAUUCCACGAAGAUCCGGAAAUCUCCAUUAUCUUUGAGGAUGGGGUAUUUUACCAGGAGAGACUUGACGAACAGGUAGUGGCCCUUCUGGCCGAUAACCCAAGGUCUCUCCCAGCUUUGGCAAGCAAGCGAAAGGUGGCCACUCAUCGCGAGACUGCUCCAAAGCGUCACCGGAGCACGCGCCGAAUAGCAUCUCGCGUUCCUCCGACCAGGGUUGCGUUGGCUGAGGAACAAGUUCCCGAACAUGAGGUGGCAGGCAAUACCGCGCCCGUCCCUCCAACCAGGUACUUAUAUCCACCAAUUGCCUUUACAAUAAUGGCAGAUUCAUUGGUGUACUUACAAUCCCUUUUGCCGAUAACUGUAGAAAACGAGCGCCGAGCUAUUGGAAAGCCAGACCAACCCAUGAUAUUUGGCCAAUGCGGGGGCUCCGAACACUUGCCCGGUGCCCGGUCUUGUUUAUGACGUUUCAGCGACGAACUCCGAAAUCAAAAGUGCUAUGAAUCAUCGACAUCGCAAGGAGUUAGUAUGACACCCUGUCUUCUCCGAGCAGUGGUUUAAUGCUCUAAAUUCGUCCGAUGCCUAUCUUGGCAUUGCACGGAACAACCUCAAAGAAGUAGCCUUCCAGACGUUAGCCCAACUACAUGUAUUUAUCGCUCUUUUGGUAAUUUGAACCGAAGUUCAGGUCUAGUAGCCCCCGAACCUUAAUUUGGUCAGAACAUCCGAGUUAAGGCUCAACCUGACUGUUGAUUUUGCUUUUCCAAGCUUUGAAGCAGGAAACUAACAAAUUGUGCGAAGAUAUGCACCAAAUGCAAACCGAACUUCAAGCUAGUAGGGCAGAUGUCACAUCCCUGACACCUUAAGCAAGUUAGUCUUGUGCUCAUGUCUUCUUUGCAUUUUGCAUCUAAGAAGUUUCAACAAGAACAAGAAAGUGGCAAAGGAAAAACUUAAAACCCUAGCCACUACUUUAAAUAAAGGAAAUCUCAAACUAGUUGAAAUCAAUGAACCCAAAAUGGCCUCAAGAAAUGUUCAAACUUUCUGAUAAAUCAUGAAAGUAAAUGAGCAUUGGAGAAAACUAUUUUCUUGACACUUUAAGCAUUUUAAAUAAAUGCAAAAAGCUACUGGUUUCAAGUUUUAAAUUUGAAAACAGAAACUUUAAAUUUUCAAAAAUGUUGAAAACUUUGGAAAUGGUUGGGAAUAUUAUAACAAAUAUUUAGGUGUGUUUAAAAUAGUUUUUACCACCAUUUUGGAGCUGAAAUAAAUAGCAAAACAUUAGUUAGCAAAACAGAACAAAACAGAAAAGAAAUAAGAGGAAGAAAAACAUUACCUGUCGCCUGAGGAGGCCCAGCCCACCAGGGGCAGGGUCGUCUUCUUCCUCUGCCUUCUGGGAGAGGGGAGAUCGACCACGGCGGCCCCUCCACCUCCUGCUUCGCCGUGGCGAGCUCCAGAGCCCCCGGGACAGCGCGAGAACGGGGAUAAGCUCCCCGGGGCCUCCUCUAUCCAUUCCCUAGCACCGGUUUCCCCCUCCUCUCGGAUCUUUUCCUCCCUCCUGCUGCCUCCAUUACCACGAGCUCGAGCUCGAGCCGCAGCGCUUCUAGCCACGGGAACCUUCCUCCGAGUAGUCCAACAGCUUCGCCUCGUCGAGCUGGUCCUCUCUACAGAAGCCGAAGCUUCCCCGAGCUCUGCAUCGCCCCAACGCCAUCGUCUUCCACCUCCGGCCGCCGGACCUCUCCCGUCGAUUCGCUUCCUCCGGCGCACCCCCGAGCCCUUCAACAACACCAUCGGAACCGCCGUGAGCUCGUCGUCGUUUCCCCUCNNNNNNNNNNNNNNNNNNNNNNNNNNNNNNNNNNCCCACGCUCUUCUGUGCAUCGUAGCCCCGUUCCCCACCAAGGCCGAGAGCUCCUCGCCGCCGGUCAUGUCGUCGCCGUCGCUGUGGUGUCUGAUCCACGCGCUCGAGCUAGGGAUCGAGCUCCUGGAGCCUCCAGGAGUGUGAUGAGCCCUUCAGCUGCCCUCCCCGUGCCCUAGAGCCAUCGCUCGUAGAAGGCCGAGCUUCGGCCGCCACUUUGGCUCGUCGCCGGCGCCUCUCCCGGCGACCCUAGCCUCCCCUGAUGCCCCCGCUAGAUGCGGUGUUGCACCAGCUACCCGUAGCUCCUUUCUGCGCCCAAAACCGACGGCCGAUGCGCUGUCUAGCUCUCUCCGGCGAGCCCUCCGCCGCGCCCGUGGUCGCCGCCGGCCAUGCUCCGGUGGGGGCCGACGUGGCAAAGCUAAUCCAGUAGAUUAGGAGCUUAAUCUCUCGCUGACAGUGGGCCCAAGGCCAAGUCAACUCAGUUUAGGGGCUCGUCAGCGCGGGAUUAGUCCCAGAGAGGCUGACCAGUGGGUCCCCCCUGUCAGGUUUGACCUGAACAGGUCGGCUGACCUGCUGACGUCACGCUGAUGCAAUAAAGAGAAUUUCCAGUAUAAAAAUAAUUCCAAAAAUGUUUAAAACUUCAAAAAUUCAUAGAAAUUAAUCUGUAACUCCAAUGAAAAUAAUUUAUAUAUGAAAAAGUAUCAGAAAAAUUCAAGGAAUCUGAAUAUGCUAUUUUCAUUCAUGUUUGAAAAAGUUACAGAACCCUAACAUGAAGAAUAAUGAAUAAUUCCAUUCUUAUAAUUACUUCAUAAAUGGAAUUUGGAAAAAUAUUCAAAUUUCAUUAUGAAUGCCAUGAUCACACACUGUCCUAGUUACAAAUUAGUACCAUAACAUGACAUCUCAUGCAUGCUAACAUCAAGUUGAUCUGAGCAUCAGGUCGAAUCAAUUAAACCGGUACCCGUGAAUACCCCGUUUGAAUUGAUAUUCGAAUGUGAUUCAAAUCAACUCUAAACCUAAUACAUGUUGAUUGUAAUAACCUAUCACUUUGCAUUCUCAUGCCAUGCUCAUGCAUCAUCUUGUUUGCAUAUGAUUGUUAUUGAUUGUUGCCAUUCAUUUCGGUAGGCUCCGCACCCCCGGAUUCCACCGAAUAUCCUUCUGACGGAUAUCGUUCCUCCUCUGAGCAACAAGGCAAGCAACCCUUUUGAUCAUCCCGAUAAAUCCCAUGUUCUUGCUCCUGCACCUAUUUAUUGCAUUAAGAUCAAAUGCUUCAACUGCUUUUGCCACGAUAGUUGAACCCACUUCCUUUGCAUGACCUAACCUUGUCACAGUAAAUAGCCGAACCUUGCAACCUAGCAUACUUGGUAGUUGCUUGAGCUAUGAUGUGCCUUAUCCGGCUAUGCAUGCUAUGCUUAGAGUUGGGUAUGGUCUGUCAUCUGGGAGAUGAACAGAAUUGUGGAAUGUGUUCGGUAAGCAAAGGUUGUGUGUUGAACUUGAUUUGGUAAAGGUACCGGUGAAAGGCUGUGUAGGAGUACAUGGCGGGUUGUUUCAUUAGAACCGGCCAUAGGAACUGAGUUCCGUGUAUGUAAUCCAAGACUAGAUACUACCACAUGCUGGGCCCUGAAAUAUGACCCCGCUCGGCCUAUUAACCGCGUAGUACUCGGUCCAGGAAUUGCAAGUAGUUUCUGGUGUUUAUAGAAAUGCUGGAGGCCGUGCAUGGUGCUGACCUGAGAGGUGGGCUGUGAUGCGGUAGGCAGUGGCACGGUGUACCAAGUGGAACCCGGAUGGUGGGCUUGGGAACCCUGCGCACAUCGUUUGAGGCCGUGGGGGAAACCCCGACCGGACUUCCGUACGGGUUACUCUCAGAUAGGCGAUAAACCUGGACUAGGCACUAGUGUGGUUAACGGUCGUGGCCGACUCCCUCGCUGGGCUUCCUCUUGAAGGUUGCCGAGGUGCAUGACGUGCACAUGGCGAUAAGUGGCGAGCGUGUGUGACGAAGUACACCCCUGCAGGGUUAUGAUCUAUUCGAAUAGUCGCGUCCGCCGAUAUGGACUACUUGGAGACAUAUGUUGUUCAUAGAUAACUUCAAUGGCUACUCAUAAAAUUGCCAAGAUAAGCGUGAGUGUCGUGGACGGCAUUUCCGUACGGAGACGGAAUGAUUCCAUGAUAGUGUAUUGUUGUGGUGUUAGUGGACUCGUGUCCGAGAAAUCAAGUUGUCAAAAUUAUUUAAAAAUGCAAGUUGUCUAGCCACGAGUCAAAUGCUGGCUUUCCGCAUGAAACCCCACAAUACCUUUUGAUACCUUGCAUGAGUAGUUAGUUAUCCUAAAAGUCUUGCUGAGUACCUUCGUACUCAUGUUUGCUUAAUAAAUGUUGCAGAGGUUGCUAAUGACCCUAAUGGAGGGUUCUUCGUAGACAUCGACGACGACGAGUAGCUGGUGUCCCAGCUACGAUCUGGCCCUACGUUGGAUCUGUAGUAUAG
rnacentral:lncRNA from 1 species